AGCGAACGCUGGCGGCAGGCCUAACACAUGCAAGUCGAACGAUCCUUCGGGAUAGUGGCGGACGGGUGAGUAACACGUUGGAACGUGCCCUUUGGUUCGGAACAACUCAGGUAAACUUGAGCUAAUACCUAAUGUGCCCUUCGGGGGAAAGAUUUAUCGCGAUUGGAGCGGCCUGCGUCGGAUUAGCUAGUUGGUUGGGUAAUGGCUAACCAAGGCGACGAUCAGUAGCUGGGCUGAGAGGAUUAUCAGCCACACUGGGACUGAGACACGGUCCAGACUCCUACGGGAGGCAGCAGUGGGGAAUCUUGCGCAAUGUGCGAAAGCCUGACGCAGCCAUGCCGCGUGAAUGAUGAAGGUCUUAGGAUUGUAAAAUUCUUUCUCCGGGGACGAUAAUGACGGUACCCGGAGAAGAAGCUCCGGCUAACUUCGUGCCAGCCGCCGCGGUAAUAC
rnacentral:rRNA from 1 species